GCUUCGGUGGCCUAGUGGUUAGAGCGUCUGCCUCGUAUGCGGGAGGUCGUGGAUUGGUUCCCCGGUCGAGUCA